UACGAAGGGUGCAAACGUUGCUCGGAAUUAUUGGGCGUAAAGCGCACGUAGGCGGCUUAGCAAGUCGGAUGUGAAAGCCCUCGGCUCAACCAAGGAAGUGCAUCCGAAACUGCUGAGCUUGAGUACUUAAGAGGAUCGCGGAAUUCCCGGUGUAGAGGUGAAAUUCGUAGAUAUCAGGAGGAACACCUGCGGUGUAGACGGCUUACUGGACCAUAACUGACGCUGAGGCACGAAAGCGUGGGUAGCAAACAGG
rnacentral:rRNA from 1 species